rnacentral:rRNA from 1 species
UACGGAGGGGGCUAGCGUUGUUCGGAAUUACUGGGCGUAAAGCGCACGUAGGCGGCUUUGUAAGUUAGAGGUGAAAGCCCGGGGCUCAACUCGGAAUUGCCUUUAAGACUGCAUCGCUAGAAUUGUGGAGAGGUAAGUGGAAUUCCGAGUGUAGAGGUGAAAUUCGUAGAUAUUCGGAAGAACACCAGUGCGAAGGCGACUUACCUGGACACAUAUUGACGCUGAGGUGCGAAAGCGUGGG